UUUAUUCUGCUCUUUCAUGUAAAUUACUUGAGAAUAACAAAAAGAGAGAGAGAUAAAGAAAAGAAAAUGGAUAUUAUUCAAGAGGUGUAAAAUCUAAGCAAAGGCAAAUACUUCAAUCUUAAGGAAGAGCAAAACAAUCAUAAUAUAUUCGGCACAUUUGGAAGGAAUAAAAUCCAUAAUUAAUUACACUUAAACAGGAAAAUUUUGAAGUAAACAUUUUAACCUUUCUAUAUUGCUCAUCAUAGGGAUGGUGCCAAUGGGGAGGCUAGUGGUAGUACCCGGCACUAUUUGACCCAACUAUUCGGUGUAGGGCAUAUUAGGGACGGCACAAGAGGGAGGCUAGU
rnacentral:lncRNA from 1 species